UACGUAGGGGCCUAGCGUUGUCCGGAAUUAUUGGGCGUAAAGAGCUCGUAGGCGGUUCGGCAAGUCGGAUGUGAAAUCUCCACGCUUAACGUGGAGGGGCCAUUCGAAACUGCUGUGACUCGAGUCCGGUAGGGGAGUGUGGAACUCCCGGUGUAGCGGUGAAAUGCGCAGAUAUCGGGAGGAACACCAGUAGCGAAGGCGGCACUCUGGGCCGGUACUGACGUGAGGAGCGAAAGCGUGGGGAGCGAACAGG
rnacentral:rRNA from 1 species